rnacentral:rRNA from 1 species
AAAAGUCCGUAACAAGGUCUCCGUAGGUGAACCUGCGGAGGGAUCAUUACACAAUAAAAUACGAAGGCCGUUCGCGGCUGGACUAUUUAUUACCCUUGUCUUUUGCGCACUUGUUGUUUCCUGGGCGGGUUCGCUCGCCACCAGGACCACAAUAUAAACCUUUUUUAUGCAGUUGCAAUCAGCGUCAGUAUAACAAAUGUAAAUCAUUUACAACUUUCAACAACGGAUCUCUUGGUUCUGGCAUCGAUGAAGAACGCAGCGAAAUGCGAUACGUAGUGUGAAUUGCAGAAUUCAGUGAAUCAUCGAAUCUUUGAACGCACAUUGCGCCCUUUGGUAUUCCAAAGGGCAUGCCUGUUCGAGCGUCAUUUGUACCCUCAAGCUUUGCUUGGUGUUGGGCGUUUUUUGUCUCUGGUUUUGCCAAAGACUCGCCUUAAAAUGAUUGGCAGCCGGCCUACUGGUUUCGCAGCGCAGCACAUUUUUGCGCUUGCAAUCAGCAAAAGAGGACGGCAAUCCAUCAAGACUCCUUCUCACGUUUGACCUCGGAUCAGGUAGGGAUACCCGCUGAACUUAAGCAUAUCAAUAA